CUUGCCGCGAUCAGUGCGUGUGGAGUUGCUUCCCCCAGCUGCUAGCUCUCGCGGGCUUUCAGAGGCCAGAUCUGCAGUUUGUGCAUUGCAAGACCUCCGAGGAAGGUAGAGUAUACGGCAUCGUGGAGCGAGGAGUCACUGGGCUUAGUUUUUUGUUUUUGUAAACAUUUAUUUAUUUGAAAGGCAGAGUAAUAGGGAGAGAGAGAGGUCUUCCAUUGCUGGUUCACUCCCUGAAUGGCCCCUAAGGCCAGGGCUGGGUCAGACUGAAGCCAGGAGUUUCUUCCAGGUCUCCCAGCUGGGUGCAGGGGCCUAAACUCCUGGGCCGACCUCCACUGCCUUCCCAGGCGCGUUAGCAGGGAGCUGGAUUGGAAGUGGAGCAGCUGGGACUCGAACCUGUGCUGGCAUGGGCUGGGCAUCACAAGCAGAAACUCAGUCCCAGCGCCAGCCCUGGAUGUGGGAGUUUGGUCACUGAGUGUUGGCCUCUCAGGUCAGCCUGCACGGCUCUUGGAGCCCCAGCUUGCAGCUUGUUUGCGUGUUUGUUUCGGGCCCACCAACUGCAGUUACUCCGUUCGUCAGCCACCCUUGUAGUGUGGUGGACUGUCCUCAGAUUGCACGGCGUCCCAGGCUAGCGCCGAGAGGACGUCAGACGGGACAGCUCCCCGGGGCGGGGACUCUGGCUGCUUUUCUGUUCACAGCCGUGCUCAGCGCCUGGGCCUCACUCAGUAAAUAUUUGCUGAAGAGUGUGUCAAAAUGCCAGGUGCGUGCCCUGCUGCCGGCAGGUCGGGGCGGCGGCUCAGCCUGCCAGGGACAGCGCCCGUGGCCUGGCUGGCCCGUCCAGAUGGGGCUUCCGGGGGCCGUCAGGGAGCCAGCGCCUGCCUGAGCGCUGCAGAGACUCUGUGUUCCACCCGAGGAGGCAGAGCACGAGUGCACAGCCCUGGCGCCCAGUGCUGCCUGAUGCACGGUGCAGAGCGAGAGCUGAGCCCCUCUCCACCCGCCCUGCAGCUCCUGGACCUGCCUGGUGGACCUGGAAGGGCUGAACAUGCGCCACCUGUGGAGGCCGGGGGUCAAGGCCCUGCUGCGGAUCAUCGAGGUGGUGGAGGCCAACUACCCCGAGACGCUGGGCCGGCUGCUCAUUCUCCGCGCACCCAGGGUCUUCCCUGUCCUCUGGACGCUGGUGGGUCACCACGCUGUCAGCCAGGGUCUUCCCUGUCCUCUGGACGCUGGUGGGGUCUCCUGCUGUCAGCCAGGGUCUUCCCUGUCCUCUGGACGCUGGUGGGUCACACGCUGUCAGCCGGGUCUU
rnacentral:lncRNA from 1 species